GACGAACGCUGGCGGCGUGCUUAACACAUGCAAGUCGAACGGAAAGGCCCCGCUUUUGUGGGGUGCUCGAGUGGCGAACGGGUGAGUAACACGUGAGUAACCUGCCCUUGACUUUGGGAUAACUUCAGGAAACUGGGGCUAAUACCGGAUAGGAGCUCCUGCUGCAUGGUGGGGGUUGGAAAGUUUCGGCGGUUGGGGAUGGACUCGCGGCUUAUCAGCUUGUUGGUGGGGUAGUGGCUUACCAAGGCUUUGACGGGUAGCCGGCCUGAGAGGGUGACCGGCCACAUUGGGACUGAGAUACGGCCCAGACUCCUACGGGAGGCAGCAGUGGGGGAUAUUGCACAAUGGGCGGAAGCCUGAUGCAGCAACGCCGCGUGCGGGAUGACGGCCUUCGGGUUGUAAACCGCUUUCGCCUGUGACGAAGCGUGAGUGACGGUAAUGGGUAAAGAAGCACCGGCUAACUACGUG
rnacentral:rRNA from 1 species